UGUAAGAGAGAGAAAAGGUAUGAGGCGAGCGUACCGACCACUUCGAAUCGGGUCGAUAUUUUCGGAGAAAAACCCCUUGAACUACAUUUUUCCCCCACGCUUUAUAAUAGUCAAUACUUGCCGGCUUAUUCGAGGCAGGCUCUAUUCUACAACCGCCAGCCUUCCUCGAAAUCCCAAAUUAACCGAUUUCUCCGUGAUUCUAGAGCACUACGGAUAUGAAAACAAGGAAAACGCAGUAUUCUCUAAAAUCGCGAUGGCGAAGUGGUUGAAGAAGUCUUCGAUGGCUUAAAAUGCAUACCGAAAAUGUUGUAGACCAGGAACGACCUAUGGAGUAUUACCUGGAGGAUUGGGAGACCCUGCUGAGAAAAGUGCUGAGAAAAUCGUUCAUCGCUUUAUCGGGUGGUAAGUCAGCAGCUGUGGAAUGAAAAACGGGGCCUUUGCUGUAACAAAUUCAGUUACAGGAUGAAAGUAGACAUUACAUUCUUUACUCAUCUUUUCUGGCCAUCUUGAUGAUACUCCCGCUUCAUUCGCCCAACGAUCACAAGGUCCCUUGGUGGCGAAGGAAUGUGCAGACUUUUCCGUCACAAUAACGAGGAGAUGUUAUAACGAACGUUCCACACGGAGGAAAUGGUUUUGCUGUGGGAGAGUUCGUAGGCAUUAUAGGGGCCACUGCUACAGUAUGUUGUCCAAGCCAGUGGCUGUACUAUGUGUUGACUAGGAUUGUGCUGCUGCAGAGGCCGUUGGUGCUCGUUCCCCUGUGAGGUACUAGGCCUUGCAUCCAUCAAACUUGUCCACGAUAACAUCACAUUCUGGUCUGUGGGCAUUAGUCCUCUUUUGAGGACAUUUACCUGAUGUCAGCGCCAUUGCUGUAGGGGAGACUCCCUUACCUGAUCGAUUGAACCAGGUCUGGUCGAUUGAACCAAGUCUACCAAGACGCCAUUCCUUUCCGCCACACAUGGUGACAAAUAACAGUCGCGCGGUUGUGACAGUUACAUCGCAGCAAAUUGCCUUUUCCUGGAGUUACAAUGUGAAUGAUGUUGCUAGCGCCUGCUACGAUAAAUGAAAUAUCGGAGGCGCCAGGCUUAAAGAUGACAAGGCCAACGCUUGUGAGGACUUGAGCUGCUUGUCCAAACAUAUCGUUAACUAUCGCAGCGGGAGCAGUUGUUAUCCCAGCUUCUUCUGGAUUGAUGGACAGGCAUUAUUUGGCGUCAUUUAUCGUGGGAGCCUCAAAAUUCAUGUGUUAUGUGUCCCUCUGUUUCUGUGACAUAUAUCCCCAUUGCCGAUCGCUUAUAAUUAAGUGGUCGACGCCCUCUUGCAACGUAUACCGUCCUUUGCCGAUGAGUGCCCAUCUUUCAUUGCGGUACUGCGUCUCAAUAAGAUCCAGCAUUUGAGUGUAAAACUCCUAUGGCUUGCAUCGGUGUAAGUGGUGCUUAACCAUCAUGUUUCCAGCUUUCGUGUCAUUUGUAGCGCUGUGGUGGUAGCCCUAGUCCAGCUUCUGUUCGCACGGAAGCUAAUAUCGAUUCCUUCAUAAUUGCUGACUGGCAAAAAUAGUAAAAAAGGAAAUUAGAAUUAGAAUCCGACCUAAACCCGCCAUUAAUCGUAUAUUAUAUAUUUUAACAAAACAACUGUUUUGUUAAAAAUUCCCUUAUGAAGAUAUUUUUUUCUAGGUUUGAUGAGGUCAUUGUCAUAUCAAUGUUUGGAAAUCAUCUGUAGACUAACAUGAUUAAGAAAAUUUUAGUUUUUAUCCUCAUCAUAUAUAUAAAGCUACGUAAGCAUUUCAUUUUUUCCCCUCUUAAUGCAAAUAAGAUCUCCAAAUUCUUUUUCAGUCCAGUGACUGCAGGCCUAUAGGCUGCGUACGCCCCUAAAAAGUAGUUGUAGCGGAGCCGUGCGCGGAGCUCCAUAGGUAUAGAAAUAUGGUAUAACUAUGCGACUUGGUUUUUGUUGUCAUCGCUCGGGUACCCUAUGUGUCACAAUCCAGUAAAUCGUGCAACUCCCAGGCCCCACUCGGCCCAACUAGAAAGGAGUCAUAGUCAAGGGAUACGUCAAUCACGAUGACGUCAUGAGGAUGUUAACUCAAUUACCAAACUGGACAUAACCGGUUUAUAACCAGUCCAACUGGAAAUAACAUUUUUUACCACCGCCCCCAAACUUCCGUACUUAUGCUUCAAAGUUCUUUUAUGAACAACGCAAACCCGCAAAGCGAAACAAGAAAUUGAAUAUUGAGAAGUUUUUUAUUUCCACUGUGACCAGAAGAUUCUACUCUCCCCUGAAUCAUCGGGAAAAUGGGCUCCUACGCCUCCCAACACGCCCAGAUUUCGUCACUCUCUUCCAUCAGGUAAAAAUAAAACAUUGGUCAUGAAGAAAUAGUUAAAAUCUCCCUGUGUUCACAUAUACCCCAUACCUAAAUAUGUUUGUAGGAAAAAAAAACUCUACUGAUUACUAUCUUAAUUAUAUCUUUAUAUGUCUAUCUCCCACCGGUUGUGGGAGAUAGCGGUGAACUUAUUACCAUGGAUGACUGUUGAUGAAGCCAUUUAAUGCGCCGAAGAUACCGUCAAUAGAGCCGGUAUUAUUCACGAUUUUCACGAGGCUGUUUCAAGAAUCGAGCCACCCUUGGAGCAACACUAUACAAUAGCUCUUGGUACUAGACGUUGGAUUUUACGUCAUACUAGUACGAGAUUAGUUAUCGAGAGUCUAAAGCAUAGACUCGCGCUGAGGGUGUUUCAGGAAGUCUGCGUGAGAACUGGUUCUCCGAUCUGCUCAGCGGGUAGAGAGGUAAGUUUAUCUUAAAUUCUUGAAUAUGUUUAAGGUAAUACAAUGACGAUCUUAAAUAUUACUUGUAUGAUAUACACUCAUCAUAUAUGUAUGUUAUCACAGUACACUGUUUGAAGUCAAACCCCACCUAAUAUAAUCAAAGUAGUAUGUAAACUAAUAAAAUUUUCCUAUUUAGGUUCGGAUAGUGAUGGUGAAGUACAUGAGAGACACCCUUCUGAGCCUCUUUCCCAAUUUCCCAACCUAUGGAGAGUGAAAUUGAAUCUAACCCAGAAUGGUUACAGAAAAUUGUGGAAGAUUUCUCCAUAACCCUUAUACCCUCACCGGCCAGGAAUAACGGGGAAGCAGAAACACGAGGGACGGAAGAAACUCGGGGAACAAAAACCCUUAUGUUUACCGAGUUGUGCCCCAGAACCACUUCAAAUAAAAAUGGAAAUACUAAGACUGCAGUGGGAGGUCAACCAACUAAAAAAAAAAUAAAGGAAAAUUAAAUAUAA